GAAAGUGGGGUAGCGGCUGAUGAAGGUGAUAUCCGGCGUAGCUGGCGCGAUCUCACGCCCGCGGAUCUUCGCCUCGAUCUCCCACCGUGGCUGCCAUCCCUCGGGUGCGGCGGUCUCAACUCGGCCUCUGAACCUGGGUGGUGGCAGGUCGAGGAACACACACAGUGCCGCCAAAGGGGCACUGAACAGCUGGUCGUCGUCCGUGGAGGGGUAGUAGACGCGGGUGAACGGCGGUACAUUGCCGAACGGUGUUGGGCUUCCCAUCUAUAGAAAAUAAAGAAGGAGAUAAGGGAGUAUCAGUGACAUGUUUCAAAUGGUCAGAUGUAUGAAGGAAAAAAAAAUAAGGUAAAGGUAGUAAAGUGAAAAUGAAGUAAUAAACAUUAUUGUUAGGGUGGAGAUGUCAAUAUAAAAUUGGAUGCAUAAUAUUAUGUGGGCAACAUGAUUAUGGUGGUGUAUGGUGUAAAUAAAAUAAAUAAAAUAUGCAUCUGUGGUAUAAUAUAAUAAACAUGCAUAUGUGGCAAUAAACAUAGUAUUCGGUGUAUAUGUGGAAUAAAACAAUAAACAUGUCAUGCAUAUGUAAGAUAUAAAUGCAGAGAUUCAGAUGAAUAGGGAUGAGGAGUAAAAUGUAUGUAUAUAUAUGUAGAUCAGAUAGGGAUA
rnacentral:lncRNA from 1 species